rnacentral:tRNA from 1 species
GGGGUGAUAGUUCAGUGGUAGAGCACAUGCCUAACAUACACGAGGUCCUGGAUUCAAUCUCCGGUACCUCCA